rnacentral:rRNA from 1 species
UACGUAGGGGGCUAGCGUUGUCCGGAUUUACUGGGCGUAAAGAGCGUGUAGGCGGCCAGGUAGGUCUGGUGUGAAAACUCGAGGCUUAACCUCGAGAUGUCAUCGGAAACCAAUCGGCUAGAGUCCGGAAGAGGAGAGUGGAAUUCCUGGUGUAGCGGUGAAAUGCGCAGAUAUCAGGAAGAACACCCGUGGCGAAGGCGGCUCUCUGGGACGUGACUGACGCUGAGACGCGAAAGCGUGGGGAGCGAACAGG